ACGCUGGCGGCGUGCUCAUACAUUGUCAAGUCGAACGCUUUUGUUUUCACCGGAGCUUGCUCCACCGAAAACAAAAGAGUGGCGGACGGGUGAGUAACACGUGGGUAACCUGCCCUCAAGCGGGGGAUAACACUUGGAAACAGGUGCUAAUACCGCAUAACAAUCAGAAUCGCAUGGUUUUGAUUUGAAAGGCGCUUUUGCGUCACUUGAGUGAUGGACCCGCGGUGCAUUAGCUAGUUGGUGAGUGUAACGGCUCACCAAGGCCACGAUGCAUAGCCGACCUGAGAGGGUGAUCGGCCACACUGGGACUGAGACACGGCCCAGACUCCUACGGGAGGCAGCAGUAGGGAAUCUUCGGCAAUGGACGAAAGUCUGACCGAGCAACGCCGCGUGAGUGAAGAAGGUUUUCGGAUCGUAAAACUCUGUUGUUAGAGAAGAACAAGGGUGAGAGUAGAAUGU
rnacentral:rRNA from 1 species